GCAAACUUGGUCAUUUAGAGGAAGUAAAAGUCGUAACAAGGUUUCCGUAGGUGAACCUGCGGAAGGAUCAUUAUUGAAUAUUCUUGAUGGGUUGUAGCUGGCUCUUUGGAGCAUUGUGCUCGCCUGUCUUGAUUUAAUUCAUCCACCUGUGCACCUUUUGUAGUCUUGGGGUUAAGCAGUCAACUAUCGGAUGUCAUCCGGAUGUGAGCAAUGCUGAGUGCGAAAGCAUACAGCUUUUCUCAAACUGACUUGUGGUCCCUCAAGUACUAUGUAUUCAUAUACCACAUAGUAUGUUGUAGAAUGUGAUCAAUGGGCUUAUGCCUAUAAUAAUCAUAUACAACUUUCAGCAACGGAUCUCUUGGCUCUCGCAUCGAUGAAGAACGCAGC
rnacentral:misc_RNA from 1 species